rnacentral:rRNA from 1 species
CCCUUCAGUGCCGCAGUUAACACAAUAAGUAAUCCACUGGGAGUACGACCGCAAGGUUGAAACUCAAAGGAAUUGACGGGGGCCCGCACAAGCAGUGGAGUAUGUGGUUUAAUUCGACGCAACGCGAAGAACCUUACCAAGUCUUGACAUCCUGCGACGAGUACAGAAAUGUGCUUUUCCUUCGGGACAGAGAGACAGGUGGUGCAUGGUUGUCGUCAGCUCGUGUCGUGAGAUGUUGGGUUAAGUCCCGCAACGAGCGCAACCCUUAUGGAUAGUUACUACGCAAGAGGACUCUAUUCAGACUGCCGUUGACAAAACGGAGGAAGGUGGGGAUGACGUCAAAUCAUCAUGCCCUUUAUGACUUGGGCUACACACGUACUACAAUGGCGUUCAACAAAGAGAAGCGAAGCCGCGAGGCAGAGCAAAACUCAAAAACAACGUCCCAGUUCAGAUUGCAGGCUGCAACUCGCCUGCAUGAAGUCGGAAUUGCUAGUAAUCGCAGAUCAGCAUGCUGCGGUGAAUACGUUCCCGGGCCUUGUACACACCGCCCGUCACACCAUGAGAGCCGGGGGGACCCGAAGUCGGCAGUCUAACCGCAAGGAGGACGCCGCCGAAGGUAAAACUGGUGAUUGGGGUGAAGUCGUAACAAGGUAGCC